rnacentral:rRNA from 1 species
UACGGAGGAUCCGAGCGUUAUCCGGAUUUAUUGGGUUUAAAGGGUGCGUAGGCGGCCUAUUAAGUCAGGGGUGAAAGCCGGUAGCUUAACUAUCGCAGUGCCUUUGAUACUGAUAGGCUUGAAUAUACUUGAGGUAGGCGGAAUGUGACAAGUAGCGGUGAAAUGCAUAGAUAUGUCACAGAACACCAAUUGCGAAGGCAGCUUACUAAAGUAUGAUUGACGCUGAGGCACGAAAGCGUGGGGAUCAAACAGG